rnacentral:rRNA from 1 species
AUUGAACGCUGGCGGCAGGCCUAACACAUGCAAGUCGAACGAGUGGCGGACGGGUGAGUAAUGUCUGGGAAACUGCCUGAUGGAGGGGGAAAACUACUGGAAACGGUAGCUAAUACCGCAUACCAUCAGAUGUGCCCAGAUGGGUUUGGCUUGUUGGUGGGGUAGCGGCUCACCAAGGCGACGAUCCCUAGCUGGUCUGAGAGGAUGACCAGCAACACUGGAACGGAGACACGGUCCAGACUCCUACGGGAGGCAGCAGUGGGGAGUAUGGCACAGUGGGCGCAAGCCUAAUGCUGCCAUGCGGCGGGUCUGAAGAGGGCCUUCGGGUUGUAAAGUACUUUCAGCUGGGAGGGGUUACCCGCAGAAGAAGCACCGGCUAACUCCGUGCCAGCAGCCGCGGUAAUUC